UUUCCGUAGGCGAACCUGCGGAAGGAUCAUUAUUGUAUAACCGAGGUGCGAGGGCUGUCGCUGACCCGACAGGUCGUGCACGCCCGAGUGCCCUCACACACAUCCACCUCACCCCUAUGUGCACCACCGCGUGGGUCCCCCUUUGGCUUGUUCGGAGGGGGGCUUACGUUUUCACACAAACUUUGUAUGCAGUGUAGAAUGUAUUUUUUGUUUUUGCGAUCACGCAAUCAAUACAACUUUCAACAACGGAUCUCUUGGCUCUC
rnacentral:misc_RNA from 1 species